AUUGAACGCUGGCGGCAGGCCUAACACAUGCAAGUCGAGCGGAUGAAGGGAGCUUGCUCCUGGAUUCAGCUGCGGACGGGUGAGUAAUUCCUAGGAAUCUGCCUUGUAGUGGGGGAUAACGUCCGGAAACGGGCGCUAAUACCGCAUACGUCCUGAGGGAGAAAGUGGGGGAUCUUCGGACCUCACGCUAUCAGAUGAGCCUAGGUCGGAUUAGCUAGUUGGUGGGGUAAAGGCCUACCAAGGCGACGAUCCGUAACUGGUCUGAGAGGAUGAUCAGUCAAAAUGGAACUGAGACACGGUCCAGACUCCUACGGGAGGCAGCAGUGGGGAAUAUUGGACAAUGGGCGAAAGCCUGAUCCAGCCAUGCCGCGUGUGUGAAGAAGGUCUUCGGAUUGUAAAGAACUUUAAGUUGGGAGGAAGGGCAGUAAGUUAAUACCUUGCUGUUUUGACGUUACCAACAGAAUAAGCACCGGCUAACUUCGUG
rnacentral:rRNA from 1 species